AACAGUGUUUUCACGGAACACUGUUCAUAUGAACAGUAUCAUCUCGGAACACUGUUCAUAUGAACAGUGAUUUCAGCAUGAAUAGUAAUUUCAGGAAUGAAUAUUAUUUUUAGCUAUUCUUCAUGGGAUUGGAGAUUAAAAAGUUCUUUUUCUUUGUGAUGAAGUGAGAGUGAGAAUCUCUAUUUCGGAAGAGUGCGGAUGCUAAUCCGGAAAGGAGGGAACGCGAGGAUCACUGGGAGAUCGCACGCGGGUUCGGAUGUUUGGGUGUAAAUGUGCUUGAUCAGAUCAUGACAGGAUUGGGCCCGCGCGGUUUGGGGCUAUGAUGCAUCCCUCU
rnacentral:lncRNA from 1 species